AUUGAACGCUGGCGGCAGGCCUAACACAUGCAAGUCGAACGAGUGGCGGACGGGUGAGUAAUGUCUGGGAAACUGCCCGAUGGCGGGGGAUAACUACUGGAAACGGUAGCUAAUACCGCAUACCAUCGGAUGUGCCCAGAUGGGAUUAGCUAGUAGGUGGGGGAACGGCUCACCUAGGCGACGAUCCCUAGCUGGUCUGAGAGGUUGACCAGCCACAUGGGAACUGAGACACGGUCCAGACUCCUACGGGAGGCAGAAGUGGGGAUUAUUGCACAAUGGGCGCAAGCCUGAUACAGCCAUGCCGCGUGUAUGAAGAAGGCCUUCGGUUUGUAAAGUACUUUCAGCGGGGAGGCGUUACUCGCAGAAGAAUCACCGGCUAACUCCGUGCCAGCAGCCGCGGUAAUUC
rnacentral:rRNA from 1 species